GUUAAGCGACUAAGCGUACACGGUGGAUGCCCUGGCAGUCAGAGGCGAUGAAGGACGUGCUAAUCUGCGAUAAGCGUCGGUAAGGUGAUAUGAACCGUUAUAACCGGCGAUUUCCGAAUGGGGAAACCCAGUGUGAUUCGUCACACUAUCAUUAACUGAAUCCAUAGGUUAAUGAGGCGAACCGGGGGAACUGAAACAUCUAAGUACCCCGAGGAAAAGAAAUCAACCGAGAUUCCCCCAGUAGCGGCGAGCGAACGGGGAGCAGCCCAGAGCCUGAAUCAGUGUGUGUGUUAGUGGAAGCGUCUGGAAAGGCGCGCGAUACAGGGUGACAGCCCCGUACACAAAAAUGCACAUGCUGUGAGCUCGAUGAGUAGGGCGGGACACGUGGUAUCCUGUCUGAAUAUGGGGGGACCAUCCUCCAAGGCUAAAUACUCCUGACUGACCGAUAGUGAACCAGUACCGUGAGGGAAAGGCGAAAAGAACCCCGGCGAGGGGAGUGAAAAAGAACCUGAAACCGUGUACGUACAAGCAGUGGGAGCACGCUUAGGCGUGUGACUGCGUACCUUUUGUAUAAUGGGUCAGCGACUUAUAUUCUGUAGCAAGGUUAACCGAAUAGGGGAGCCGAAGGGAAACCGAGUCUUAACUGGGCGUUAAGUUGCAGGGUAUAGACCCGAAACCCGGUGAUCUAGCCAUGGGCAGGUUGAAGGUUGGGUAACACUAACUGGAGGACCGAACCGACUAAUGUUGAAAAAUUAGCGGAUGACUUGUGGCUGGGGGUGAAAGGCCAAUCAAACCGGGAGAUAGCUGGUUCUCCCCGAAAGCUAUUUAGGUAGCGCCUCGUGAAUUCAUCUCCGGGGGUAGAGCACUGUUUCGGCAAGGGGGUCAUCCCGACUUACCAACCCGAUGCAAACUGCGAAUACCGGAGAAUGUUAUCACGGGAGACACACGGCGGGUGCUAACGUCCGUCGUGAAGAGGGAAACAACCCAGACCGCCAGCUAAGGUCCCAAAGUCAUGGUUAAGUGGGAAACGAUGUGGGAAGGCCCAGACAGCCAGGAUGUUGGCUUAGAAGCAGCCAUCAUUUAAAGAAAGCGUAAUAGCUCACUGGUCGAGUCGGCCUGCGCGGAAGAUGUAACGGGGCUAAACCAUGCACCGAAGCUGCGGCAGCGACGCUUAUGCGUUGUUGGGUAGGGGAGCGUUCUGUAAGCCUGCGAAGGUGUGCUGUGAGGCAUGCUGGAGGUAUCAGAAGUGCGAAUGCUGACAUAAGUAACGAUAAAGCGGGUGAAAAGCCCGCUCGCCGGAAGACCAAGGGUUCCUGUCCA
rnacentral:rRNA from 1 species